AGUCGUACAGGUAGCCGUAUUGCUACCGUGACCUAGACGGCGGACGGGUGAGUAAUGCUUAAGAAUCUGCCUAUUAGUGGGGGACAACAUCUCGAAAGGGAUGCUAAUACCGCAUACGUCCUAUGGGAGAAAGCAGGGGAUCUUCGGACCUUGCGCUAAUAGAUGAGCCUAAGUCGGAUUAGCUAGUUGGUGGGGUAAAGGCCUACCAAGGCGACGAUCUGUAGCGGGUCUGAGAGGAUGAUCCGCCACACUGGGACUGAGACACGGCCCAGACUCCUACGGGAGGCAGCAGUGGGGAAUAUUGGACAAUGGGGGGAACCCUGAUCCAGCCAUGCCGCGUGUGUGAAGAAGGCCUUAUGGUUGUAAAGCACUUUAAGCGAGGAGGAGGCUGCUUUAGUUAAUACCUAGAGAUAGUGGACGUUACUCGCAGAAUAAGCACCGGCUAACUCUGUGCCAGCAGCCGCGGUAAUACAGAGGGUGCGAGCGUUAAUCGGAUUUACUGGGCGUAAAGCGUGCGUAGGCGGCUUAUUAAGUCGGAUGUGAAAUCCCCGAGCUUAACUUGGGAAUUGCAUUCGAUACUGGUGAGCUAGAGUAUGGGAGAGGAUGGUAGAAUUCCAGGUGUAGCGGUGAAAUGCGUAGAGAUCUGGAGGAAUACCGAUGGCGAAGGCAGCCAUCUGGCCUAAUACUGACGCUGAGGUACGAAAGCAUGGGGAGCAAACAGGAUUAGAUACCCUGGUAGUCCAUGCCGUAAACGAUGUCUACUAGCCGUUGGGGCCUUUGAAGGCUUUAGUGGCGCAGCUAACGCGAUAAGUAGACCGCCUGGGGGAGUACGGUCGCAAGA
rnacentral:rRNA from 1 species